rnacentral:rRNA from 1 species
AGUGAACGCUGGCGGUAGGCCUAACACAUGCAAGUCGAACGGCAGCACAGUAAGAGCUUGCUCUUACGGGUGGCGAGUGGCGGACGGGUGAGGAAUACAUCGGAAUCUACUUUUUCGUGGGGGAUAACGUAGGGAAACUCACGCUAAUACCGCAUACGACCUACGGGUGAAAGCAGGGGAUCUUCGGACCUUGCGCGAUUGAAUGAGCCGAUGUCGGAUUAGCUAGUUGGCGGGGUAAAGGCCCACCAAGGCGACGAUCCGUAGCUGGACUGAGAGGAUGAUCAGCCACACUGGAACUGAGACACGGUCCAGACUCCUACGGGAGGCAGCAGUGGGGAAUAUUGGACAAUGGGCGCAAGCCUGAUCCAGCCAUACCGCGUGGGUGAAGAAGGCCUUCGGGUUGUAAAGCCCUUUUGUUGGGAAAGAAAAGCAGCAGGUUAAUACCCCGCUGUUCUGACGGUACCCAAAGAAUAAGCACCGGCUAACUUCGUG